rnacentral:rRNA from 1 species
UACAGAAGCCUCAAGCGUUGUUCGGAAUUACUGGGCGUAAAGGGAAUGUAGGUGGUGACGUAAGUCAGAUGUGAAAGCCCCGGGCUUAACCUGGGAAGUGCAUUUGAUACUGCGUUGCUAGAGUGUGGAAGAGGAGAGCGGAAUUCCAGGUGUAGGGGUGAAAUCCGUAGAUAUCUGGAGGAAUACCGAUGGCGAAGGCAGCUCUCUGGUCCAUAACUGACACUGAGAUUCGAAAGCGUGGGUAGCAAACAGG